rnacentral:rRNA from 1 species
CCUACGGGAGGCUGCAGUGGGGGAUAUUGCACAAUGGGGGAAACCCUGAUGCAGCGACGCCGCGUGUGGGACGACGGUCCUCUGGAUUGUAAACUACUGUUCCCAGGGACGAAGAUGACGCUACCUGGGGAGGCCGCUCCGGCUAACUACGUGCCAGCAGCCGCGGUACUACGUAGGGAGCGAGCGUUGUCCGGAAUUACUGGGUGUAAAGGGAGCGUAGGCGGGGAUGCAAGUUGGGUGUAAAAGCCACAGGCUCAACUGGUAGUCGCACUCAAAACUGCAGCUCUUGAGUGAAGUAGAGGCAGGCGGAAUGCCUAGUGUAGCGGUGAAAUGCGUAGAUAUUAGGAGGAACACCAGUGGCGAAGGCGGCCUGCUGGG